rnacentral:rRNA from 1 species
UCCUGCCCAGUGACAUAGUUCAACGGCCGCGGUAUCCUAACCGUGCAAAGGUAGCAUAAUCAUUUGCCUAUUAAUUGUAGGCUAGAAUGAAUGGAUAAACGAAAUAUAAGCUGUCUCUAUGCAAUAAAAAAAUCUCUAACUGAAAAGUGUUAGAUAAAAUCGAAGGACAAGAAAACCCUAUAGAGCUUUAUUUUAAAAAAAUUUAAUUUAUAAAAUUCGGUUGGGGCGACCAAGGAUAUCUUUAAUCAUCCUUUAUUAAUAGAUUCAUAAAUCAUAAUUUUGAUGUUAUAGAUCAAGCUACCUUAGGGAUAACAGGCUAAUCCUGCUAGAGAGUCCUUAUCUAAAGCGGGGAUUGGCACCUCGAUGUUGGCUUAGGGAAACUAUGUAAUGCAAAAGUUACAUAAAGAUGGUUUGUUCAACCAAUAAAUCCCUACAUGAGCUGAGUUCAGACCGGCGUAAGCCAGGUUAGUUUCUAUCCACGAUCCUAGCCAUAGUACGAAAGGACCUGGAUAUGGGUAAUUCAAUAAACGAAUUAAUAUAAUAAUUACAUAAAAUUAUAAACUAU